GUUAAUAUUCCUGUACUUGGUGUUACUGCGAAGGGGGGACGGAGAAGGCUAUGUUGGCCGGGCGACGGUUGUCCCGGUUUAAGCGUGUAGGCUGGUUUUCCAGGCAAAUCCGGAAAAUCAAGGCUGAGGCGUGAUGACGAGGCACUACGGUGCUGAAGCAACAAAUGCCCUGCUUCCAGGAAAAGCCUCUAAGCAUCAGGUAACAUCAAAUCGUACCCCAAACCGACACAGGUGGUCAGGUGAGAAUACCAAGGCGCUUGGGAGAACUCGGGUGAAGGAACUAGGCAAAAUGGUGCCGUAACUUCGGGAGAAGGCACGCUGAUAUGUAGGUGAGGUCCCUCGCGGAUGGAGCUGAAAUCAGUCGAAGAUACCAGCUGGCUGCAACUGUUUAUUAAAAACACAGCACUGUACAAACACGAAAGUGGACGUAUACGGUGUGACGCCUCCACGGUGCCGGAAGGUUAAUUGAUGGGGUUAGCGCAAGCGAAGCUCUUGAUCGAAGCCCCGGUAAACGGCGGCCGUAACAAUAACGGUCCUAAGGUAGCGAAAUUCCUUGUCGGGUAAGUUCCGACCUGCACGAAUGGCGUAAUGAUGGCCAGGCUGUCUCCACCCGAGACUCAGUGAAAUUGAACUCGCUGUGAAGAUGCAGUGUACCCGCGGCAAGACGGAAAGACCCCGUGAACCUUUACUAUAGCUUGACACUGAACAUUGAGCCUUGAUGUGUAGGAUAGGUGGGAGGCUUUGAAGUGUGGACGCCAGUCUGCAUGGAGCCGACCUUGAAAUACCACCCUUUAAUGCUUGAUGUUCUAACGUUGACCCGUAAUCCGGGUUGCGGACAGUGUCUGGUGGGUAGUUUGACUGGGGCGGUCUCCUCCUAAAGAGUAACGGAGGAGCACGAAGGUUGGCUAAUCCUGGUCGGACAUCAGGAGGUUAGUGCAAUGGCAUAAGCCAGCUUGACUGCGAGCGUGACGGCGCGAGCAGGUGCGAAAGCAGGUCAUAGUGAUCCGGUGGUUCUGAAUGGAAGGGCCAUCGCUCAACGGAUAAAAGGUACUCCGGGGAUAACAGGCUGAUACCGCCCAAGAGUUCAUAUCGACGGCGGUGUUUGGCACCUCGAUGUCGGCUCAUCACAUCCUGGGGCUGAAGUAGGUCCCAAGGGUAUGGCUGUUCGCCAUUUAAAGUGGUACGCGAGCUGGGUUUAGAACGUCGUGAGACAGUUCGGUCCCUAUCUGCCGUGGGCGCUGGAGAACUGAGGGGGGCUGCUCCUAGUACGAGAGGACCGGAGUGGACGCAUCACUGGUGUUCGGGUUGUCAUGCCAAUGGCACUGCCCGGUAGCUAAAUGCGGAAGAGAUAAGUGCUGAAAGCAUCUAAGCACGAAACUUGCCCCGAGAUGAGUUCUCCCUGACCCUUUAAGGGUCCUGAAGGAACGUUGAAGACGACGACGUUGAUAGGCCGGGUGUGUAAGCGCAGCGAUGCGUUGAGCUAACCGGUACUAAUGAACCGUGAGGCUUAACC
rnacentral:rRNA from 1 species